rnacentral:lncRNA from 1 species
AUAGAAAUGAGUGACUGUGGUGACAGCCAUCAUCAGGGUCAUGGCAUUAGACUAGCAGGAGGCGGCAUUUAUUCACAAGUUUACAUAAAUGGAAACAUGGCAUUCCUUUCUUAACUGUCUCCAUCUUGGCCUGGGACCAGUGUUUCUAGUACAUCCAGAAUUACGUAUUUGUAGAACUUAAGUACUAAAGAUGUACAGUUUGCUCUUUUUAAAUUGGAUCCUCUUGCAGUCUUCACUUAUGGACACAGGUCAUGUCUUGGCCAUACCAGAAGAAUUUGGUUUGGAGGCAACCUUGGAGAAGCACACAGACUGUUUGAUUUUAUCCGAAAGCUACUUUUCAAGAUAUGGAAGACUGAAGAAUUUUACAAGAGCAUGUUAACCUUUAACCUGUGUGUUUGCAAUAAGGAGAUCUUUACUGGAAUGAAAAGACAUUGUAUACUAGCACUAGAGCUAUAAAGGCAAGGAUUUGCUCUUUAUGCAUAUACCAAAGACACUGUGGCCUCCCACUCAGCAGCCCACAGGGGAAAAAUCCUAUUUUGCAGGAAAAAAAAGUUGUUCUUCUUGUUAGAUAUUUUCUUAGUAUAACUGUGUUGGGUAGGGCUUAGACCUUUGUACUCUCCCUGAACAAAUUCCUUGUAGUGAAAACCUAUAUGAAUACUGCGUUUUUACAUCUAAUGUCUGCAUCUGGAGGCCAUGUGCCAGUGUCAUAUCUUCUUGGGAUGUGCUUUCUCCUCGUUUCCUA